CCUACGGGAGGCAGCAGUGAGGAAUAUUGGUCAAUGGGCGGGAGCCUGAACCAGCCAAGCCGCGUGAAGGAAGAAGGCGCCAAGCGUCGUAAGCUUCUUUUGUCGGGGAACAAAGGGCGCCACGUGUGGCGUUGUGAGUGUACCCGUAGAAAAAGCAUCGGCUAACUCCGUGCCAGCAGCCGCGGUAAUACGGGGGAAGCGAGCGUUAUCCGGAUUUAGUGGGUUUAAAGGGUGCGUAGGCGGUCCGGAAAGCAGGUGGGAAAAGCCCGGGGCUCAACCCCGGCGAGCCGUUGAAACUGUCGGACUAGAGACGGCGAGAGGUACGCGGAAUGCGCGGUGUAGCGGUGAAAUGCAUAGAUAUCGCGCAGAACUCCGAUUGCGAAGGCAGCGUACCGGCGCCGGACUGACGCUGAGGCACGAAAGCGUGGGUAUCGAACAGGAUUAGAUACCCCUGUAGUC
rnacentral:rRNA from 1 species